rnacentral:lncRNA from 1 species
AAAAAGAUAUACAAGCGUGACGAAACUGAAAAACAGAUUUAGCUUCUUUAUUCAAGUUCGAUGAAUCUGUUGUCGCCGAAUCAAUGAAUCAUCAAUCCAAAUUCGAUUUCUCGCCGCUGCUACAUGUUUUCAUCUGAAUUCGAGAUUCGAUGAAUCUGUAGUCUCUUUUUCUGAAUUCAAGAUUCGCAUUCAGGUUUCAAUCUUUCUAAUUUUUGAAUUGAAUUCUUUAUAGUUGUUUCCACUCGUGGCAUCUUCGUGUUUGACAUCAAUGUUUUGAGGCAUCUUUUUUUCUGUUUCGUUUGCGACGGUGACAUCCCGUUCUUGAACGUUCAACUCCAUGAAUCUUGAAUUUUUAAACCCUAGAAAUCUGAUUUAAAUUGGUGCCGAAAAAGACGACCAGUGAGUCGCAAGCUUGGUUAUUCGGAUUUAAGUUUAUGCUAUCCAUGGAAUUGGAAUUUGCCUCGAUUCGAAAGAGAGAUGUAGGUAUGAAGAUUCUUGAUUGGACCUUCAAUUAAUCUGCCGCCCUCUCAAGUUUUGCAUUGCAUCUCUUCUGAAUUUGAUAUCUUUAUUCACCUGUUCAUCUCUCUCUCUCUUUCCAUUUUCAAUCCACUCUCCUUUGGAUUAUCGAUCUAUCAGUUUUUUUCUUUUGUUGGGCAAACAUUAUCCAUCUCCAAAACCAUGUUCGACAUGAAUGUUUUGAGGUAGUUUUUUUGUUUGCAGCAUUAAUGUAAUAUUAUCAAUUGUCAAGAAUGUAUCAUCUUGAUGAUUCUUGAUUAUUCAUAUCUAAGAAAGUUGAUAAAAAAUGAAUAGAUUAAAUAUGCAUCCUUAAGACAAGUCGCAAUGAUAGAUAGUUUAAAUUUUAAUUAUGAGAUGGAUUCUUGACUCUAAAUUUCUGAGGCUUGCCAUAUGAAUUUGAUAUAGUAUGUUUGGAUGAUUCUAAAUUUAAUCAAUAGAUGGACUUUUGACAAAAAAAUGUGAUUGCCUAGUUUUAAUCACGAGAUUGAUUAUUGAAUCAAAAUUUGGCUUGCAAUAUGAAUUUGGGAUAAUAUGCUUGGAUUACUCUAAAUUUAAUAAUAAGUUGGAUUCUUGACUCAAAAAUGUGGCUUCAAUAUGAAUUUUUAUUCAUAUGAAAUUGCGAUAAUAUGUUUGGAUGACCCUAAAGUUAAUCACGAGAUGAAUUAUUGACCCAAAGAUGUGGCUUACGAUAUGAAUUUUUAUUCAUAUGAAAUUGGGUUAGUAUGCUUGGAUGACCCUAAACUUAAUCAAGAGAUAAUAUGUUUGGAUGACCCUAAAGUUAAUCACGAGAUGAAUUCUUGACCCAAAGAUGUGGCUUACGAUAUGAAUUUUUAUUCAUAUGAAAUUCAGCUUGGAUGACCCUAAAUUUAAUCAAGAGAUAAAUUCUUGACUUAAAAAAUGUGGCUUGUAAUAUGAACUUUAUAUUCAUAUUAAAUUGGGAUAAUAUGUUUGGAAGACCCUAAAUUUAAUUACGAGAUGGAUUCUUGACCCAAUAAUGUGGCUUGCAAUAUGAAUUUCAUAUUGCUAUGAAAUUGAAAUGUAUGCUUUGAUGACUCUAUAGAUUUAAUCAUGAGAUGAACACUUGACUCAAAAUGUGGCUUGCAAUAUGAAUUUGGGAUAAUAUGUUUGAGUGACCCUAAAUUUAAUCACACGAUGGAUUCUUGAUUCCAAAAUGUGGUUAGCAAUAUGAAUUUUGUAUUCGUAUAGAAUUGGGAUAUAUGCUUGGACGACCCUACAUUUUAUCACGAAAUGAAUUCUUGACUCAAAGUUUGGUUGCAAAUUGAAUUUUUUUAUUCUUAUGAAAUUGGGAUUGUAUGCUUGGAUGACACUUAAAUUAAUCAUGCAAAUGAUUCUUGACCCAAAAUUUGGCUUGCAAUAUGAACAAUUUAGUCACAUCAUAUGAAAUUUGGAUAGUAUGGAUGUAAAUUUAUGGGCUAUAUAACUUCAGUAUGAAUAUUAUUUAUUCAUAACUUGAAAUGGCAUGUAUGUCAUGACGACCUUGAAUGGAAUGACAAUAGCAAGCUUGCCUUGGAUGAGAGUAUUGUGCCUUAAUGAUUUUGGACGUCAAAUUUGACAUUUGAGCUUAGAUGACCCUAAGUUUGACGAAUUGGGACGACAAUAUUGUGCCUCAAUGACUUAGAAUGCUAAAUUUGAUAUUUGAGACUCGUAGGCUGCCCUAAAUUUGGUAAAUCGGGAUGAUGAUAUUGUGCUUUGAUCACCUUAGAUGUGAAAUUUGAUAUUGAGGUGAUGGUAUUGUGGCUUGCAAUAUGAAUUUCAAAGCAUACAUUUUAAUUUCAUAGCAAUAUGAAUUCUUGACCAAAAGAUGUGGCUUACGAUAUGAAUUUUUAUUCAUAUGAAAUUGGGAUAGUAUGCUUGGAUGACCCUAAAUUUAAUCACGAGAUAAAUACAUGACCUAAAAAAUGUGGCUUGUAAUAUGAAUUUUAUAUUCAUAUGAAAUUGGGAUAAUAUAUUUGGAUGACCCAAAAUUUAAUUACAAGAUGUAUUCUUGAUCCAAUAAUGUGGCUUGCUAUAUGAAUUUCGUAUUGCUAUGAAAUUAAAAUGUAUGCUUUGAUAACUCUAAAUUUAAUCAUGAGAUAGACACUUGACCCAAAAUGUGGCUUGCAAUAUGAAUUUGAGAUAAUAUGUUUGAGUGACCCUAAAUUUAAUCACAUGAUGGAUUAUGGAUUCCAAAAUGUGGUUUGCAAUAUGAAUUUUGUAUUCGUAAGGAAUUGGGAUAUAUGCUUGGAUGAUCCUACAUUUUAUCAGGAGAUGAAUUCUUGACUCAAAGUUAGGUUGCAAUUUGAAUUUUUUUAUUCUUACGAAAUUGAGAUUGUAUGCUUGGAUGACGCUUAAAUUAAUCAUGCAAAUGAUUCUUGACCAAAAACUUGGCUUGCAAUAUGAACCAUUUAGUCAUAUCAUAUGAAAUUUGGAUAGUAUGGAUGUAAAUUGAUGGGCUAUAUAACUUCAGUAUGAAUAUUAUUUAUUCAUAACUUGAAAUGACAUGUAUGUCAUGACGACCCUAAAUUGAAUGACGAUAGCAAGCUUGCCUUGGAUGAGAGUAUUGUGCCUUAAUGAUUUUGGACGUCAAAUUUGACAUUUGAGCUUAGAUGACCCUAAAUUUGACGAAUUGGGACGACAAUAUUGUGCCUCAAUGGCUUAGAAUGCUAAAUUUGAUAUUUGAGACUCGUAGACUGCCCUAAAUUUGAUAAACCGGGAUGAUGAUAUUGUGCUUCGAUCACCUUAGACGUGAAAUUUGAUACUGAGAUGAUGGUAUUGUGCCUUGGAUGCAAAAUUUGAUAAUUGAAUGCUUGAUGAUCUUAAAUUUGAUAAAUUUAGAUGAUGUAUAUUGCCUCAAUAAGUUGGAAGCAAACUUUCAUAUUAGAGCAUAGACGACCCUAAAUUCGAUAAAUUGGAAUGAUGGUGUUGCGUUUUGAUAACAUUGAUAUUUUAGCCUAGAUGGUUCUAAAUUCGAUAAAUUAUAAUAACAAUGUUGUGCCUCAAUGACCGGAUACAAAAUUGAUUUGAGCCUAGAUGGUCUUAAAUUCAAUAAAUUGGAAUGAUAAUAAAUUGUCUUGAUAACGUUGGAUGCAAAAUUUGAUAUUUGAGAUUAGAUUGUCCUAAAUUUGUUAAAUUAGAAUGAAUGGUGUUGCUCCUUAAUGACAUUGGAUGCAAAAUAUGAUAUUUGAGUCUAGAUAAUCUAAAUUUGAUAAAUUAAGAUGAUGGUCUAUGAUUUGAUAACCUUGGAUGCAAAUUUAACUUUUUGAGCCUAAAUGAUAUGAAAUGUGAUAAAUUGGUGCAACUCUUCAAGAGGAGGAGGAAUGGAGGAUUGGCUAAUAGAAGACUUUUUUGGGUUGUUCCUUCAUAACUAACAUAUGAUGAAUAUGGAAAUGAUUAUAUUGGGGAAUGAGUGUGGUUUUCAACUGUUAUUUUACAAUGGGAUAUUUAAAGGAACAACAUUAUAAUGCUCAUGAGAAUUUGAGAUUUUUAAGUUUCACGGCGCUUGCAUGGAAAUGGUGCUUUGCUCCUUGAUUUAUCGGUUGUUAUGGCAACUAAUGUUUCAUUUUCUCUGAUGAUUUGCAAGUGACUGGGUCUAAGGCUACACUGGUAGCUAGGGAGGCUAUUGGCCAGGGAAACAUCAUGGCUGCCAUUAAUCCUUUUGUCAAAACAUUGACCAAUUUCUUGAUAAUUAAUCUAUCUGAGGUUGCAGAAAAGAUGUCUAUCUUUUGUCAAAAGAUGUCUUUGGUUUUGCAAAGGGACAGGCCACUGAAAUUAAAACUCUUGGGUUCAAAUUGAAGUUUGGUUUUGGCUCACACGACAAGAGUCACACAACAGCGGUAAAUAAUGUGAAUGUUUUGUAAAAUACAUUUUUAAUUGCAUAAUUGAGUAUGCAGCAACAAGAAGAUCCAUUCAUGAUGAAGGCCAAUGAAGUAGUACUUACCUGCAGAACAAGUAAGUGUAUGAGCAUAAUAAUGAUUGUAUGGCUAAUCUCUUGGAUUGGAAGGGUCGCAAGAGGAAGAAGUUGUGUAGGAGGAACCAAAUUUUAUGAAGUAGCAACAACACCCUUCAUUUCUUCUUGGAGGGUUGGAAAGUGGCAGCAGCUAUUAAUGUGUAGAUUCCUUUUUCUUGCAUUGAGGACAAAACAGAAUUUUAAGGGGUGUCUUCUAGACCCAAUUGUCCAAGGCUCACUUAAAGUCACCCAUAAGAGAAGUUAGAGAAAGGGGAGAGUUAGUUACAAGGAGGAAAGUUUGUAAUAUAGAGGGAUAAUAGGAUAUUGGGGGCAUUCAGGAAAUUGUUAAGCAAAAUUGGUUAGGAGAGUUUAUCUCUUUGGUAGGAGGUGUUGACUUCGGUAGUUUUCUUCAUACAGAUUAUGGGUUCACCAUAAUGGUUAGUCCCACGUUGAGUCGUUGACUUUGAAUGAGUGGUGCCUGCUUUGGGCAAAGGAGCAAAACUUUGGCAAGUUAGUUAUUGAAACUGAUGCUUAGUUGUUUGUUAAGUGUCUCUAUGAACAUUCCAAGAUUGCUUUAAUUGACCCCAUUAUAGUUGACUGUAAAGAGACCCUGCUUCAGAUGGAAAACACCACAGUGAACAUCAUCAGAAGGUCUAGGAAUGGUGUAGCCGAUGGUCUUUUAGGAGUUGAUAAAAAUGCAGGAUCUAAGAAUUUGGGUUGGAAAUUUCUCAAACCUUGUUUACUAUUUGAAAGCCAAUUUUCUACAGUCAAAAAGAAAAAACCAAUCCACAAACAUGUUGUAAUGCUAGAGCAGUACCGAAAAGUACAUCCAAUAUCAAAGUUACAAUUGACGUAAAUCCUUUGAUUCACAAAUGAUUAUUGGCUGUUCCCAAUCCAGUUAUUACCUUAGCUCUAGAAACAAGCAACACCAAGUUGUAUGUAUAAGCAGUUGCUUCAUAAUUUCCAAGCAUAUUUUAAGGAGAUAGACUGUGCCUAAAUUGACGAUACCGCUGGUUUAUUUGAUGCCUACUCAGUCUGGCAAAUUUGUGAUCCAACUCAAGACAAUGUAAAAACAACACACUAGUUAGAGUGCACGAGUAACAACCCUUAUCUACCAUAGGCUUUACUACAUUUUUUAAUUUCUGAUCACAAAUUUAUAACUAGUAUUUUGAAAUACAAGAUAAUUAGACACAUGCUUUAUGGAGAAAAGUUUGCUUGCAUAAACUCUCUAAUACCUUAUUUUUAAGUUUCAAUAAAAGUUGUAGCUGAUUUGCUCUUCUGUUGAAUGCUAUCUUUGUGUGUUUGUUUUGAAGUGAAGAUUAUUUGCUACUAAAUUGUAGCUUAGUUGUUUCUGUGAUUCUAUGCAUGUCUUCAGUUAAAUGGUGAUUGUAACUAAUUUAUCAUAGAGAAUGACUACUGGUGAUUUUAGUUUCUAUGCUGGGAUACUAAUUUUUCAAUAUCUAAUUUGUAUAGCAAGUAGGGAUGGAGAUAAACCUGGAUGCAUUUUACAGUGACAAGAAAUUCGAGAUUUUCUUGCAGUAACGCGGUUUUGGACACAAAUACGAGAUUUUUUCAUGCUACUAUGAAGAGCUAUAUAAGAAGGAAUUAGAUAGAAACCUUUUACUAUAAUAAUUGGUGGAUUAUAGGGCUGAAUGAUGUUAAACAAGUGAUCAGACAGCAUUUUCAUUCAAUGUUCACUGAAGGUAUUCAUGAAAGACCGAAUGUGGAUGACUUGUUUAUUACUAAAAGUUGAUUUCGAGAAGGCUUGUGAUACGGUGAGUUGGGGUUUCUUAGAGUAUUUUCUUGGUAGAGUGGGUUUUUCAUCUUUAGAUCAAAUGGAUGCGAACAUGCAAUUUUCAUAGUUCGAUGUCAGAUUUUGGUGAAUGGAGCCCUACUUAUGACUUUCAAGUAGUGAAAGGUAGCAGCAAGGCAAUCCUCUAUCACCAUUCCUUUAUCUUAUUGUUGCCGAAGGGCUCACAGCCUUGGUGAACAAAGCGGUUGAAAUGAGAAGGUUAUCUGGAUUUCAAGUCUCAAAUGAUAUCCAUUUAGCAUUAUGCAAUUUGCCGACAACACUAUCCUAGUGGGUAAGGGCAGUUGGAGUAAUUUUCGAAGUUUGAUCACAAGUUUGAGGGGUUUUGAGCUUGGGUCAGGUUCUUGAUUUGGGCAGCUAAUACUUGGGGGAUAUGUAUGUGAAUCAGGAAAUAAUGGUAAUUUGUAAUUAUAUUUAUCGGAUUUUCAAAAAUAAGUUAGACAAAUCAUGAUUUGAUUUGAUCUCCUUAAUUUGUAAUUAUGAGAUAUAAAUGUGGUAACGAUUCUAUAUACGGAGAAAUAUCAAAGCAAGAGGGACAUCAAACUCUAAUUUGUGACGUGGUAUCAGGAGGUUCGAUCAAACCUGUGAGCUCUUAGUUAAUCUCGGCUUUAUUCAGCGACACCCCACUGGGUCGCUCUUGAAAUCGUUCCUUUCGUUCUUGGUCCUUGCUUGUUUCGUGAUUACGUUGCGAACUCUCAAUCAUAGUUGCAUGCGGUUGCUUGUUCGACUCUUGGUUUCAUCUUCGCGAUUCGUUAUUGUCUUUUACAAUUUUUCGGUGUUGAGAUUGUGCUUCUGGGUUGUUUCUCGCUGCUGCUCGAUCGUGAUUCAGGAUUUGUUGAUCGUCAUUCUUGCUCGUUAUUGCUUCUCGCUGCUGCUGCUCACUUGCUUGAUCGUGGUCUUCGUCAAUUUCGUGCCUGAUCGUGAAAAUGGUCAUUAUGUUGAGUGAUUUUUUUUGCUUACAACCUAUUCUUUUGCUCACGGCCUGGUUCAAUUUUGCUGGGUAUUCUUUUUGGCAUAAUUCAAUUUUGUUGGGCAUUUCUAUUUGCUGCACAUUACUCAUUUUACUGGGUAUUUCUAUUUGUUGGGUAUUUCUUUUUUGGCCUAAUUCAAUUUUGCCGGUAUUUUUUUGGCCUAAUUCAAUUUUGUUGGUUAUUUCCUUUUGGCCUAAUUCAUGGCUUCUGAAAGAGACAAUUUUUGUGUCCGUUUUACCAGCAAAAAUUAUGCUGCUUGGGAAUUUCAAUUCAAAAUGUAUGUUAAAGGAAAGGGAUUAUGGAGUCACCUUAAUGGGGUUUCUAAGGCACCGACAGAGAAAGUUGUCUUAGAUGCGUGAGACAUCAAAGAUGCUCAUAUUAUUUAUUGGAUUCUCAAUACUAUUGAUCCUCAUAUGAUCAAUAAUUUGCGCUCUUUUUUAACUGCUCAAGAAAUGUGGAACUAUUUGAAGCGUAUUUACAACCAAGACAAUACGGCCAAACGUUUUUAGUUGGAGCUAGAGAUAACCAAUUACAAACAAGGUAAUUUGUCAAUUCAAGAUUAUUAUUCUGAAUUUUUGAAUUUGUGGACAAAACACUAUGCUAUUCUAUUUGCUACCGUUCCCAAGACUUCUCUUGCGGAUGUCCAAGCUGUCUACAACACUAGUAAGCAGGAUCAAUUUCUCAUGAAACUUCGUCCGGAAUUUGAGGUUGUUAGAGGUGCUUUGCUGAACAGAAAUCUUGUUCCAUCUUUGAAUACAUGUGUUGGUGAACUUCUCAGAGAGGACCAACGUCUCCUUAUUCAAGGAACCAUGUCUCAUGAUGUUGUCACUUCUGAACCUGUUGUGUAUGCUGCUCAGAGCCGAGGUAAAGGUCGUGAUAUGCGACAAGUCCAAUGUUUCUCGUGUAAACAGUUUGGACAUGUCGCUCGUAGUUGCAAUAAGAAGUUUUGUAAUUAUUGCAAGCAGCAAGGUCAUAUUAUCGCUGAUUGUCCCACGCGCCCUCCACGGCCAACACAACAUUCCGUGCAGGCACUCCAUGCCACUACGAGCUCCGCAGUUGGUCCUUCCAUUUCUAGUGCCUCUAAUGGUGAUGCUCUACAGCCUGAAAUGAUUCAACAAAUGGUACUUUCUGCUCUUUCAGCCUUGGGAAUUCAGAGUAAGUCUUCUAAUAUUUCGAAUCCAUGGUUUCUUGAUUCUUGUGCAUCCAAUCACAUGACGGGCUCCACAGUUAUUGAUCUUGACUCGCCUUUCUUUUGUCUUUUUAAAAUUCAGCCUGAUUAUAGUGAUUUACAUACUUUUGGAUGUGUGUGUUUUGUUCACCUACCUCCCUUUGAAAGACAUAAGCUUGGAACGCAGUCUGUUCAAUGCGCAUUUAUGGGAUAUAGUCACUCUCAUAAGGGUUAUGAUGUUUCUAAGUUUAGGGUCUUCUAAUGUUUCCAACUUUUCUAUUAUGCCUCAAUCUAUAGAACAUUUUAAACCAGGAAAUGUGUAUGUUAGAAAACACAAACAGCAGGUUAUAAUCCCCCUUCUCGACCCUGAUCCGCCACCUGAUCCUGUAGCGGUUGCACCACGACGUUCUGGUAGAGCGUCUUGUGCACAUAAUAGAUAUUCACCAGACAUGUAUAAUUCCUCACAUACCUCUUUGUCUGCAUCUCUUUCUAGUAUAUCUAUUCCUACUUGUUACUCACAAGCUGUUAAAGAUGUGCGCUGGAUAAUAACAAUGAAUGAGGAACUUCAGGCUCUUCAAGAGAAUUUCACAUGGGAUAUUGUCUCUUGUCCUCCUCAUAUCAAACCCAUAGGCUGCAAAUGGGUGUAUUCUAUUAAAUUAAAUUCUGAUGGGUCCCUGAAUCGGUACAAAGCUCGAUUGGUUGCUUUAGGAAACAAACAGAAAUAUGGAAUUGAUUAUGAUGAGACAUUUGCACCAGUAGCCAAAAUGACAACUGUUCGCACUGUACUCUCUAUAGCUGCUUCUAAUGGGUGGACUCUUCAUCAAAUGGACGUGAAGAAUACAUUUCUUCACAGUGAUAUCACUGAAGAUAUUUAUAUGACUCCUCCUCAAGGUCUUUUUUCUUCAUCUCAUGGUGUGUACAAGAUCAAACGCUCUUUAUAUGGUUUGAAACAAGCACCUCGAGCAUGGUAUGAGAAAUUUCGUUCCACUCUACUUGGUUUCUCUUUCACUCAAAGUCAACAUGACUCCUCUUUAUUUAUUCAUCGCACAUCUACCGACAUUGUUCUAUUCCUCCUUUAUGUUGAUGAUAUGGUCAUUACUGGAUCUGAUCAGACAUCCAUCCGGGAACUUAAACAUCAAUUGCAAACUGCAUUUCAUAUGAAAGAUCUUGGUAACUUGCAGUAUUUCCUUGGCCUUGAGGCCCAUUCUACCCCCAAGGGUAUAUUUCUUCAUCAACAUAAGUAUGCGACAUACCUUAUUUCUAUGACAGUCCUCCAAUCAGCUAAUCUGGUAGAUACUCCUCUUCAGGUUAAUGUGAAAUAUCACCGAGAUGAGGGUGAUCUAUUGCCAAAUCCUUUAUUGUAUCGACAACUUGUGGGUAGUCUUAAUUAUUUGACAAUUACCUGACCUGACAUAUCAUUUGCUGUUCAACAAGUAAGUCAGUUCAUGCACUCUCCUCGCAACCUUCACUUGGCCGCAGUUCGUCGCAUAAUUCGUUAUUUGCUAGGUAGCUCUCAACGGGGUCUCUUCUUUCCCAUGGGCACAAUUCCCAAAUUGAUUGCCUAUAGUGAUGCUGAUUGGGCUGAGUGUCCCAACACUCGGCGAUCUGUCACCGGUUGGUGCAUGUUUCUCGGUUCUUCACUGAUAUCAUGGAAAAGUAAGAAACAAACACGAGUCUCUAAAUCAUCUACUGAAUCAGAGUAUCGUGCUAUGUAUACUGCUUGUUCUGAGCUAAUUUGACUUCGUGGUCUUUUAGCUGAACUUGGAUUCCCUCAAACAGAGCCGGCGUCUCUCUAUGCUGACAAUACAAGUGCUAUUCAAAUUGUUGUAAAUCCUGUUUUUCAUGAGCGCACCAAACAUAUUGAAGUAUAUUGUCACUCUAUCUGUGAGGCCUAUGACAAUCAGAUUAUAUCCAUCCCUCACAUCAAUACUCAGUUUCAAGUUGCAGACAUUCUUACCAAAGAUGUUCCUCUCCCGCGCCAUCAGUUUCUAGUUAGCAAAUUGAUGCUCCUUGACCAGCCGCAUCAAUUUGAGGGGGGUGUGAAUCAGGAAAUAAUGUUAAUUUGUAAUUAUAUUUAUCAAAUUUCUAAAAAUAAGUUAGACAAAUCAGGAUUUAAUUUGAUCUCCUUAAUUUGUAAUUAUGAGAUGUAAAUAUGGUAACGAUUAUAUAUACGGAGAAAUAUCAAAGCAAGAGGGACAUCAAACCCUAAUUUGUGACAAUAUAUGGUUGUUAAGGAACGAUAUACUUGGGAGAUAAACCUGGAAGCUGGUAAUCCUCACAUAUAGUUGUUUGACGUUAACUCUAGUAGUCCUCAAAUGAUAUUAUAUCUUUUUAACUGAAACACACCUCAAAAAAUUGUUUCUAUUCUUGUUACAAAUGAUUUGUGUUCUUGAUUGUGUGACAGGUAAUAUAUCUAUUUCCUGUUCUAUUAUUUAUUUAUUUGAAUCAAAGGUAACAUCUAUUUGCUACGUUUUGGUGUUGUACAGGGUGAAGCAAAUCUAUUUCCUUUUGUAUGAGUUUGUUUGGUGUUGGGGUAAUGAGGUGGUGAUAAUUUUGUUGAAAUUCCAUAAUAUGGAUCUGUUCAAUUUCUUUUUAUACAACUGAUAUAAUGUGGUCCAGUUUUUGUUCAUUUUCAAUUAUGACAGGAUGUUUUCGUUACUGAAAAAAUGUGCUAUGUUAGAUUUAUCUCCUUUCUCUGCUGAGCUGUGCCAACUGGUUUGAUGGUUUGGGGGACCUUUCUUAACUCUACAACAUGCGGUGAGAAAGUGGUUCUUUGAUUUUUAGCUUUCAUGCUUGUUUGCUUAUUAAAUUACAACGUUUAGAAAAAAAGAGAUAAAACAAUAUAUCAUAAAUUUGAUUUCUUUGUGACUUUAGGAAAAUGAUAUUGGCAAGCAAUGGAUGCUGUAUUACUUUUCAGUAAGAUCAGGUUAGGCCCAACACGGUUAGAUGUCUAAGACAAAUAUUACAAGGAGACUUUUUUAAAUAAAUAAAAAAUAACACAAUGCUUAAUAAAAGAAAUCAAGUUUUGCUCCAUUCACGUUCGAACCAGGUUAGAAUGAAUAUGCAACCCUUAUUUUGACUAACUAAGAUAGGUGAAUUUCUCUAACUAAUUUAUAAUAUUAUAGAUUCAUAACUAAAUUGAAUUUUUUUAAUCCAAAAUUUUGAAGACUAAAACUCUAAUUUUUUCUGUUUGGCCCUUGUGCCGCCUUUGAGCAGAAGAACAUACCAAGUUGGGUGAGGUUAUGGUUAUUUGAAAUUUGUGUGAUGAUUAUUAGUAGGAGGAAGUGAAACCUUGUGCCGCCUCUAGAGGUUUUCACAACACAUGAUAAAAUUAUUUCAAGUAUAUCAUGUGCAUCAUCACUUCACUUAAAUAAAAAUAUCUGCAUGGCGACCAUGGGUGAAUACAUGAUGAAUAAUUUUUUUAUUUCUUUGAUUUGAUUACAUAUACUUUUCUUUUUUGAGUCUUGACCAUGCAGUGUUUUUUUUUUUAAUAGUUCAAGACCAUGCAAUUUAUUUUGACAAUAAUAAAUUACACAGGGGUGUGUAUAUCAUUAAUUAAAAACCAACUUUCCAUUUGAUAUUUACUUUUUUCAUAUGAAUUAAAUUUUUAUCAACCAAAUCAAAUAAAAUCCUCUAUCCUAUUUAGUUUAUACUUAUAGUUAUUGUAUCAUUUUAUAAUCACUUCUUCUCAUUUUCUUUUCGACCAAACUAGAGAAAUAAAAGUUUACAUUCUUUUAUUUUACUUUCUCUCUACAAACAACAAAAAAAUAUCUCACUUUCUAUCAUCUUUAUUUUCUUUUACUUUAUUAUUUAUCUUUCUUUUUUGUUCCUUUUAUUUUUGUACCAAAUAAAUUAAAGCACUUAUAAAGGGGUGGUUCCUCUUCUAUCAUUGAGGUAUAAGAUAUGGCCACCCAAAAGAAUAGAUUACACCACACUCUUAUGUUAAUUAGUAGACAUAUUUCAAUAUUUUUUGCUCACCUUUAAUAAAUAUUAAAAAUUGUUUCUCUGUUUUACUUUAUAUCUGCGUUUAUAUAAAUUUUAGUUAUAUUUUAUAUAAAUAAAAGUUAUUAUAAACUUGUGGUUUAAAUAUACAAUUUGUUUUGCUUUUAAUCUCUAUUUUUUUCCGGCUUUUUAUCCAUGCAAACACAUCUCACUUUGUUUUUGUUUUUGUUUCUUAAUCUCUGCUGAAUAUGUUCAUAUUGAAAUUGGUUUGUAUAAUAUAUGUAAUAUUUAUUUUAGUCUUUUAUGUCACUCAUAUUAGAGAGAUUAAUAUCAAAUAUUUUUCAUAUUAUAGGUAUAAGUUUUAAAAUAAAUUUGUAUUUGCAAAGACUAUAAAGAUGAUAAAUUUGUAUUUGUUCGGCCCAUUUUUUCUUGAUAUUUUUUUAUUUUAAUUGAUAAAAAUUAAAACACAAAACACCUUCAAUUGUUGGAAUCAGGUUAGUUCUAAAAACAAUUUCUUUGUCAUAUUUUGAUGAUAAAAAAUGUACUUUGUGAGAAUAAUUUAUUAUACUAAUAAUUUUAUUGAGUGUGCAAUAAAUAAAACUAGGAAAUACAUGAAAUGAUUUAAGAGGAAGUGAAUAUGUCAAAGGAAAUUAUUUAAGAGGAAGUGAAGAUGUCAGAUGAAACGAAUGAUAUUAAAGAAAGCAGGCAUUAGAAUUAAGUAAAGUCAAAGGAAGUCAACACAACGUCCAAAUUAUGAUUAUUGCACAUGCUGAUGUGUGUGCGCAUCUGCCUCUGAAGCGUCUGUUCAAUGUGUCUUUGAAGCUUUUCGCGUCUCCCUCUGAAGACUAAAACAUGUCUAUAAAGCGCCUACUUCAGUAACUUUGAAGCUUCUAUUUGAGUUGUCUUUGAAGCUCAAGUUCCACUCACUCUAAACACUGCAACUUGCUCCAAGAUGCUACUAAAGCAGCAAUAUCAAUCACAAGGAAUGAAGGUUUGAAUUGUGACCCCUUUUAAAAAAAUUAAUUCUUAAACUUAAUUUAAAUUAACUCUAGAUCAAUCUUGAUUUCAAACAAAAAAUCCGAAAACGUUCUGGAUGAGUUAGAGAUAAAUUAAAUAGGUUAAUUUUAGGUAUUAUGUGAUUAGUGAAUGGAAAAUAAAUAAGGAUAAACAUAACAAGAUCAUACAAUUAUGUAUCAUGAUUCACCUAAGGUGGGUUACGUGCAGUUUUCACAAUCUGCGAGAUUUUUUACUAAUGUGCUUAACAUUAAAACGUUCUUGUUUUCACACUAUCUUUCUUGAUCACUCUUGAUCAGUUUCAGAAUCCACCUUUCAAUUUUGAAAGGAUUUUUACAAUGACCUUUCAGUCUAGAAAUAAUUUUCACAAAAUAUUUAAACUAUCUUAAGAGAUAGACUUGACUUAUAAAUGAUGUGUAUGAUAAAAUAAUUAAGGAUAAAAAACAUACUCAACACUUGUUUGAGAUUGAUUAUCAGCAAGAACUCAAUAAAGUGAUCCUUGAAUAUAAUGAGAGAGAGCUGAAGUUUUGCUUAAGAGAAAAACUUUAUUUCUUGAGUAUGAAUGUUUAAGUAUGGAAUGGUUAUUUUUAAAAUUCUCUCUUUUGUCUUCUCCUUGAUAUUCCUUUUACAAAUGUGAAGAGAAUUGAAGAGACUAAGUAUAGCCGUUACUGAACCUUUGCAAGUUGUUUGUUCAGAUUGAAGUCUAUUAAACACAUGUGCUAUUUGGUUCAGAAUAUUAUUUUAUAAAACCAAAAUGCUCUUGCUUCUGAGGUUUUUGGAGAACGUGAAUAAAUGAUCGAAUGAGUUGUGAAAUGUCAAUGACUCCAAGCUUGCAAUUUUUUUUGCAAAAGGAUGCAUCAACAAUGUAGUCAUGUCCUUGUUGUCUUGACUCACAACUCAUUAAUUUGAAGAUCAAUCUCGUCAUCGACCUAGAGGCUAUUUUGCUCAUUUAAGCCUUCAGCUCGAGUUCUGGGUUUGACUAUUGAUUUGAAUAGUCUUGAUACUCAAAAACACAAGUUAAAUAACAACAUAAUCAAAAUCAUGAUUAGUGAUUAAUUAAUUAUUUGUUUAUCCUCAAUACACUUGAUUUGAGAUUUUGCCUCAACAACUGCCUAUGAUAAGCAACAUGCUCUAAAGAUGCAACAAGGUGACAAUGUUCAUGCCACUAAUUCCAAGUCAUGCAGUUCCGCUUAUGACUACUUGAACCAAAAAACACAACAUCUAACUCCAAUGAUCAAGUUAUGUUAUGAUGAAGAAAGUCAAUGACUUUGAUGGAAAGUUAACACUCUGAUGGUGACUGAGCUGUUUCAUGAUUCUGAAGAACCAAUAACAUAUUCUGAAAAGUUCCCGCUGCUCUUAAACAUACGUUUAACACAAGAAUCAAGGUAAAUUAUUUUCAAGCACUAUUUGGACAUUCUUGCUCAAAAUCACUAUAGAAAUUUCAGUUAAAGAUUCAUUUUGAAGUUAUUCAAACUUCAAACAACAUAUUCCCAUACCAUAUCUAUAAAAGUUUAUUUUUUAUGAAGAUCUAUGUUGGUCUCACACAAGGAAGAUAUAUUCAGAAUUUGUUUGGGACAAUAUUAAAACUCUAAUUCAUGCUAUAUAAAGGGAUUCAUUCUGAAGAACAAAAACCACAACACAAUAACUCAUAAAAUUUUACAAAUGUAGAAAAUCAUUUGUGACGGUUCUUGAAUGUUCAAUUCCAUGAAUAUUGAAUUUUUAAACCCUAGAAAUCUCAUCCAUGAAUAUGGAUUAUGCAAACCCUCAAAAUCAGAUUUAAAUUGGUGUCGAAAAAGACGACCACAGAGUCACAAGCUUGGUUAUUCAAAUAUAAAUUUAUGUUAUCCAUGGAAUUUGCCUCGAUUCGAAAGAGAUAGAGAUGUAGGUAUAAAGCUUCUUGAUUGAAUUUUCAAUUAAUUUGUCGUCCUCUCAAGUUUUGCAGUGUAUUUCUUCUGAAUUUGAUAUCUUUAUUCACUUGUUCAUCUAUCACUUUUUCCAUUUUCAAUCGACUAUCCUUUGGAUUAUUGAUCCAUCAAUUCUUUUCUUCUAUUGCGCAAACAUUAUCCAUCUCCAAAACCAUGUUUGGCAUGAAUGUUUUGAGGAAGUUUUUUGUUUGCAACAUUAAUGUAAUAUUAUCGAUUAUCAAGAAUGUAUAAUCUUGACAAUUCUUAAUUAUACAUGUUUAAGAAAGUUGAUAAAAACUGAAAAGUUGCAAUAUGCAACCUUAAGACAAGUCAGUUGCUAUGAUUAGAUAAUACGAAUUUUUAUUAUGAGAUGGAAUCUUGAUCCUAAAUUUCUUAUGGCUUGCAAUAUGAAUUUUAUUCAUAUGAAAUUGAUAUAACAUGCUUGGAUAACCUUAAAUUUAAUAAAGAGAUUGAGAAAAAAAAUGUGAUUAUCUAAUUUUAUUCACGAGAAUGAUUAUGGAUCCAAAAUUUGGUUGGCAUUAUGAAUUUGGGAUAAUAUGCUUGGAUGACCCUAAAUUUAAUAAUAAGAUGGAUUUUUGACCUAAAAAUGUGACUUCAAUAUGAAUUUUUAUUCAUACGAAGUUGCAAUACUAUGUUUGAUGAUCUUAAAGUUAAUCAUGAGAUGAGUUCUUGACCCAAAGAUGUGGCUUGCGAUAUGAAUUUUUAUUCAUACGAAAUGAAGAUAGUAUACUUGGAUGACCCUAAAUUUAAUUACUAGAUGAAUUCUUGAACUACAAAAUGUGGCUUGUAAUAUGAAUUUUAUAUUCAUAUGAAAUUGGGAUAUUAUGUUUGGAUGACCCUAAAUUAAUCACGAGAUGAAUUUUUUUAUCCAAAAGUGUGGCUUGUAAUAUGAAUUUUAUAUUCAUAUGAAAUUGGGAUAGUAUGCUUGAAUGAUCCUAAAUUUAAUUACGAGAUGGAUUCUUGACCCAAUAAUGUGGCUUGCAAUAUGAUUUCAUAUUCGUAAGAAAUUGAGAUGUAUGCUUUGACGACUCUACAUUUAAUCACAAGAUAGAUAGUUGACCAAAAACGAGCUUGUAAUAUGAAUUUUUUUAUUCACAUGAAUUAGGACUAAUAUGUUUGGAUGACCCUAAAUUUAAUUACGAGAUGAGUUCUUGAUCCAAAAAUAUGGUUUGCAAUAUGAAUUUUGUAUUUGUAUGAAACUGGGAUGUAUGCUUGGAGAUCCUACAUUUUAUUACGAGAUGAAUUCUUGAAUCAAAGUUUGGUUUCAAUAUGAUUUCUUUUUAUUCUUAUGAAAUUAGGAUUAUAUGCUUGAAUGACCCUUAAAUUAAUCACGCGAAUGAUUUUUGACCUAAAAUUUGACUAGCAAUAUGAACCAAUUUAGUCAUAUGAAAUUGUGAUUGUAUGAAUGUAAAUUGAUGGGCUAUAUCACUUCUGUAUGAAUAUUAGGAUGACCUGAAUGGAAUGACAAUAACAAGCUUGCUUUGGAUGAGAGUAUUGUGUCUCGAUGAUUUUCGAUGACAAAUUUGAGGUUUGAGCUUAGAUACUCUAAAUUUGAUAAUUUGGAAUGACAAUAUUGUGCCUCAAUGAUCUAGAAUGUUAAAUUUGAUAUUUGAGACUCGUAGAUUGUCCUAAAUUCAAUAAACCCGAAUGAUAAUAUUGUGCUUUGAUCACCUUAGUCGUGAAAUUUGAUAUUGAGAUGACGAUAUUGUACCUUCGAUGGAAAAUUUAAUAAUUGAGUCUUAAUGAUCUUAAAUUCGA